rnacentral:rRNA from 1 species
UACGGGGGGAACGAGCGUUGUUCGGAUUUACUGGGCGUAAAGGGCGUGCAGGCGGAUUUUCAAGUCGGAUGUGAAAACCCCAAGCUUAACUCGGGGCCUGCAUCCGAUACUGCAAAUCUUGAGUACGGGAGAGGAAAGCGGAAUUCCAGGUGUAGCGGUGACAUGCGUAGAUAUCUGGAAGAACACCGGUGGCGAAGGCGGCUUUCUGGACCGAUACUGACGCUGAGGCGCGAAAGCCAGGGGAGCAAAC